rnacentral:rRNA from 1 species
UACGGAGGAGGCAAGCGUUAUCCGGAAUUAUUGGGCGUAAAGCGUCCGCAGGUGGCUAUUCAAGUCUGCGGUCAAAGACUGGGGCUUAACCCUGGAAAGGCCGUGGAAACUGAAGAACUAGAGUGCAGUAGGGGUAGAGGGAAUUCCCGGUGUAGCGGUGAAAUGCGUAGAGCUCGGGAAGAACAUCGGUGGCGAAAGCGCUCUGCUGGACUGCAACUGACACUCAGGGACGAAAGCUAGGGGAGCGAAUGGG